rnacentral:rRNA from 1 species
CCCUUAGAUGUUCUGGGCCGCACGCGUGCUACACUGAGUGGAUCAGCGGGUCAGGUUACGCGAGAGCGUUUCCUAAUCUUCAAAUCCGCUCGUGAUGGGGAUUGACGGUUGCAAUUUUCCGUCAUGAACGAGGAAUACCUUGUAAGCGCGGGUCAUCAUCCCGCGCUGAAUACGUCCCUGCCCUUUGUACACACCGCCCGUCGCUCCUACCGAUUGAGUGGUCCGGUGAGGCUUUGGGAUCUAAGCGAAAAGAGCGUUUCGCUCCUUUUGCUGGGAGGACUCAGUCGAACCUUAUCAUUUAGAGGAAGGAGAAGUCGUAACA